CGCUCGAAGCCGCAGGUCGAGCAUCUGACUUCAUCUCCCUAUGGAUCAGAAGGUUGGGGGUUCGAGUCCCUCCGAGCGCG
rnacentral:tRNA from 1 species